rnacentral:antisense_RNA from 1 species
CAAAGAUUUACUAUUAAAAAUCCUGGGGAUGAGGUCUUAACACAGAAAACCCAUCUGUCAUCGCUACAGAGGACUACUAUGAAGAAAGCACCUGGCAUAAUCUUGGCACAUCGAAGGCAUUCAAAAAAUACCAGUCAUCUCUCUUCACUCCCUCUAACUCUAACUUACUUUAACCUCAUUUAAACUUUGAGGAAAAAGAACUCAAGGUCAGACAAGGCUUGGUUCAACACUCUGAGCUGGGUUGGCUGGACAGGACUAGCACUAGACCUGACCCAGAAGUAAAGGCAAUUGUGGGAAGAGCAGACGUACCUGGGAAGAAAUCUAGAAGCCAGCAAGCAGAACACCAAAGCUUGCCACUGGGCAACAGAGAACUGGUCCAACAAAGCUGUCACCAUCAGAAAUGUGUGUCACCAGGUCAGAGAAACAGGAAAUCAAGGAAAGACAGAAGAGAAAAAAAGAAAAAAGAAAGGAGAAACGUGGGUUUUGCUGCAAAGAAAUACCAAAAUUAUUUCAAAUCAGUCAAAGUGAAUCAUCUGUCUACCAACAUGCCUCAUUUUUCAUUGUCUAUAGUGGUGUCCACAGCUAGCUGACACUUCACAUGAAGACUGAAGAAGAAUAAAUUUCAUUUUAAAUAC